AACGAACGCUGGCGGCGCGCCUAAUACAUGCAAGUCGAGCGAGAAGACGUAGCAAUACGUCUGUAAAGCGGCGAACGGGUGAGGAAUACAUGGGUAACCUACCCUCGAGUGGGGAAUAACUAGCCGAAAGGUUAGCUAAUACCGCGUACGCUCCUUGGACUUCGGUUCAGGGAGGAAAGCGAUACCGUGGGUAUCGCGCUCUUGGAUGGGCCCAUGUCCUAUCAGCUUGUUGGGAGGUAACGGCUCACCAAGGCUUCGACGGGUAGCUGGUCUGAGAGGACGAUCAGCCACACUGGCACUGCGACACGGGCCAGACUCCUACGGGAGGCAGCAGUAAGGAAUAUUGCGCAAUGGGCGAAAGCCUGACGCAGCGACGCCGCGUGGGGGAGUGAA
rnacentral:rRNA from 1 species